GAUUCCGUGUGUAGUGGUAUCACGUGCGCUUCACACGCUCAAGGUCCUCGGUUCGAUCCCGAGCGGAAACA
rnacentral:tRNA from 1 species